GUGCUCACUUCAGCAGCACAUAUACUAAAAUUGGGACAACACAGAGAAGAUUAGCCUGGCCCCUGAGCAAGGAUGACAUGCAAAUUUGUGAAGUGUUCCAUAUUUUU
rnacentral:snRNA from 3 species